rnacentral:lncRNA from 1 species
GGAUUACUUGUUUUGGAAAAUCUAUGUCACUGGUAACAGAACACUCCCUGGUCCCGCGCAAAGAGCUCACAGAAGUCAUGAUGUGUACAGGCUGUAUCCUACGUUGUUUCCAUUCUUGGUUUAAUAUUUCAGUUCUUUCCAGUAUCUUCUGACGAUUAGAAUUAAACAUACUCUUUACUUCAUCUGCACGUCGGAAUCUCUUGAGCUGCCUCAGUCUCAUAUAUUCUGAUUUUACACGUUUUCGCCAACAAAUUGGUCCUUUCUCAGAUUUUUUUCCUGUUUGACCCAUGACUAACCCUUCUGAAGAUGCAUUAUUGUUAUCACAAAUAAACAUUCCCCGGACUCUCAAUUUGAUAGACACCGUCCCCUCGCUCCAAUCUCGUACCACCACCACCAGCACCGCUUCGCUCCCCGGCUCUUCUUCCCCUUUGCCUCCGGCUGCCAGAUUCACCCUCCCGGACCGAGCGCCAAAUACAGUGGCCCAAUCGCUAACACGUUCAUUGGCGAGGGCCGAG